ACGCUGGCGGCGUGCCUAAUACAUGCAAGUAGAACGCUGAAGGAGGAGCUUGCUUCUCCGGAUGAGUUGCGAACGGGUGAGUAACGCGUAGGUAACCUGCCUGGUAGCGGGGGAUAACUAUUGGAAACGAUAGCUAAUACCGCAUAAGAGUAGAUGUUGCAUGACAUUUGCUUAAAAGGUGCAAUUGCAUCACUACCAGAUGGACCUGCGUUGUAUUAGCUAGUUGGUGGGGUAACGGCUCACCAAGGCGACGAUACAUAGCCGACCUGAGAGGGUGAUCGGCCACACUGGGACUGAGACACGGCCCAGACUCCUACGGGAGGCAGCAGUAGGGAAUCUUCGGCAAUGGACGGAAGUCUGACCGAGCAACGCCGCGUGAGUGAAGAAGGUUUUCGGAUCGUAAAGCUCUGUUGUAAGAGAAGAACGAGUGUGAGAGUGGAAAGUUCACACUGUGACGGUAUCUUACCAGAAAGGGACGGCUAACUACGUGCCAGCAGCCGCGGUAAUACGUAGGUCCCGAGCGUUGUCCGGAUUUAUUGGGCGUAAAGCGAGCGCAGGCGGUUAGAUAAGUCUGAAGUUAAAGGCUGUGGCUUAACCAUAGUACGCUUUGGAAACUGUUUAACUUGAGUGCAAGAGGGGAGAGUGGAAUUCCAUGUGUAGCGGUGAAAUGCGUAGAUAUAUGGAGGAACACCGGUGGCGAAAGCGGCUCUCUGGCUUGUAACUGACGCUGAGGCUCGAAAGCGUGGGGAGCAAACAGGACUAGAUACCCUGGUAGUCCACGCCGUAAACGAUGAGUGCUAGGUGUUAGACCCUUUCCGGGGUUUAGUGCCGCAGCUAACGCAUUAAGCACUCCGCCUGGGGAGUACGACCGCAAGGUUGAAACUCAAAGGAAUUGACGGGGGGCCCCGCACAAGCGGU
rnacentral:rRNA from 1 species